AUGAAUGGCAAAAUAAGUAAUACGUGCAAUCCUCAGAUGGAACAAAAGAGAAAAAGAGAACAUUUCCCAUAGUAUCUGAUAUAAAUCUAUAUUAUCUGCUGUAAGCACUACUGCAAGGGCUUAAAUAAAGGAUGAAAUAAACAUAACAAUGCAAUACUUUGACUUUUCGUGUUCCACAGUCAAAUUGAAAUGGAUACCUCCUGUCUCAGUGUAUCUCAGGUUUCCCAAGGAUGAAAGAAUGCUAACAUUUAGCCUGAAGAGAACAACUGCAGAGUAGUAAUUAUCAGUUUUGUCAUAGUUACUCUUUUAAAUUGGAAUGUUUAUCCUGCUUUAGUUUUGCUGUUCUUUAAACCUACCAAGUCACCACUCAGUCCAAGUAAGUGAGCAGGAGGAAAAGACUUUUUUUUUUUAAACUAAUUACAUCCUUAGGCCUACAUAAAUACUAUAAAUAUAUUCAGCAUCUUAAAACAUAAAAUCAUCAAGUAAUGGAUGAUGUGGCAAUGAGAAAUUUUCCAACUUGAUUUUCUAAUAAUCCAAGGUAAUCUAAGGUUUUGUGUAUGAACUUCUGUUUUCAAAUUACUCCAAGCUGCAGAAAGACUUAGAUUUUAUUUUUGGAGGAGUUAAAAACCUGUACACUUGUUAAAUUUAUAUCACUCUUAUACCCAAGUAAUGUAUUCUAAUAACUUUUUCAAAAAAAUUUUCCAACCAGGGCAAUAUGGAUGAUAAUGCCAGCUCACUUGAUUCAGCAGGAAUGAUGCCAACCCAGUAGCGUCUCUUUUUUCCAGUUUUUCUGAGUUAAAGUUGAAUGUAAAGACCUACUUGUGAAAUGCAAAUUCAUAUUUUAGACAUAAUGGAGGACCUUCAAUAAGGUCAGUGCAGAAGAUAAGCCACAUUUUUUUCACUAGUAAUGAUUUGCUCUAGGUGCUGCAAAGGAAGACAAGGGACAGGAAGGCUUGUUCAGUUAUCUUUCUGGUGAGGUCUAACUUUUCAGGCAGAGAUUGGCUGGAAAAUUAGGCAAGAAGACUGCCAUUACUUUCCAAACACUUGAUUAUUCAGUUUCCAACUAUACCCCUUUAUAACCUUAAAUUCCUAUUAUUGUAAUUGCCUGACUAGUAUAAUUUGUUUUCACAGAUGUCAAGAAACCACAAUUGCCUUCUUGGAUCUUGGAUUAGUUCAGAAAACUUUGUCUUGUAUGAGUUCUUUUCUGCCCAGAGUACAUCAUCCAUGGCUUUUAGAGUUGUACAUUUGAGCUGUUUUAUCCAAGAGCAUCUUUUCACUGGAUGGAGGAUCAUUGCCAGGAAAUUUUUACUGUAUUUCUAUCCAAACUGCACCGUUUCUUCAAGUAUUUCAUGCCUAAGGAUCUUUUCACACCUACUUCAAAAAUAAGAUCAUAAAUACUAUUUUGGAAACACUUCCUUUUGGAGAUGAGGAGGAAUUACUUCUUGGAGUUUUGUCUGAUUGUUUUUCAAUUGUUCUUUUCAGCACCAUAUUUAGAUAGUUAAACUUUGUGUCUUGAGUAAUGACAUGUUUUCAGUAUUCCACGUGAAAUAUACUUAAGCGUGGAAGUAAAUGUUUGAAAGACUGAUGCUUUAAGAAACUUUAGAAAAAUAAAUGUGUUAGGUGGUGGAUUCUUUCCUUGCUUCUUUCUCUUAGUAUCACACCAUCUACAUGAGAAUCCUAUUAAAACUUUGAUCUCUAUAUGAAAGUUAUUCUUCCUAGAGGAUGCACAGGAUCCAUCAGCAGAAAAUUUGACUGCAGCUAAAUGUCUGAAAUUCAGGUCAUACUGCAAGUUUUUCUCUCAUUUUAGAUUUCAGUAGUAAAUAUAGAUAUAAAUUCUGAUGGUUUUAUAAAUCAGAACCGCAAUGGAGAUGGGAAAAUAUGGAGGACAAUUCAUACCAUAGGCAACUUAGAGUAACUGUAAAUAAGCAAAUAUUACCUCUUUUUUAUCCUAAAGAAAUGCAUUUUCCUUAAUAAUUGAACAAUAGUGUUACCCUUUAUUAACACAUUAUUUGUUGUUUCCAUACUUCGAAAAGUUUGGGUUUAGUGAGAAUAGACAGUUGCAAAAAAGCUAUUGUUCCUGUUGGUGAUCUACCAGGUUUAAUGGUUAUAUUUUCUGCACUUUACUUUUUGAACAUUUUACCGCCCUAUGAUUCUGCGUUUUAUAUGCCAUUGCAUAACUAAGAGUUUAAUAAAGAUUGUUUUUAAUUCUGCUGAUGAAGUAA